GACCUCUUGAUACAAUUUUUUGUUUAAUCUAAAAACCGAAGAGCGGCUUGCUCUUAAUGUAGCAGUAGCUUUUACAAGCCUCUCUUUGAUCUUAGAGCCUUGGGGGUUCAUGCUUUGACGAGGCACCGUGGGCCUGCUAUCGAGCUGGUGGCCACAGCUGGCCCGUGGGCGCAGGUCGUGAGGCUCUUCUCUCCCUGCUGCCACCACACAUGAGACGAGACUCUGCGAACCACGGUCCUCCCGAUCCACAGGCGUGCUAGAGACUGGAGCCAGGAGGCGGGCAGAGGCACCUGCUUCUCCGUUGGCUCCCUGUCCCUGGUAGUGCUGGCCACGGCCACGGCCACGGCCCUCCAGCCCAGCAGGGGCGCUUAAUUCCUGAAGGAGGAGUUGGUUCCAUUUGCCAGUUUUCCAUGCUUUGGAGAACCAGCGUUGUUCUGCCACUCAGACUGCGGUGCCGUAGGCUUGUGCGGCCCCUUCUAGGGCCUGAGUCCCAGCUCUGUGGGCCCCGCCAGGUGCUUGGGGCGCCCACUGCGUCCGCUCCUCAAAGGGUUGACUCCCCGCUCCACAGGGCACCUCCACGCUUCUAGCCUUAACCUCCCCUCGCCUUUUUCCCCUACCCUGAGUGGUAGCUACCACUGACUGACCCUGCUUUCUUAGCACCUUCUAGUGUGUUCUAGAACUUUUUAUCAUCUCCCUCCCUGCACUCACAAUAGAAGAGCAAUCUCUGUAGGCCAGGGACUUUGCUGCAGCUGUGAGGUGAGGAAGAAUGACCGGAAAGCCUCCAGGGGUGCUUGCAGGAUUUUUGGAUGAUCCCAAGAUUUGUGCCCGAGCCCUGGAUGGUCGGCGUUGCCAGUGGCCGGGCCGAGGAAGGAGACGGUGGAGCAGGUUUGAAGGGGGAAGGUCAGAACGUGAGCUCUGGCCAUGCGAGCAUGUUAGAUCAUCGUCAGGGGGAGACGUGGACAGGCAGGAGUAUGUCCAAGCUCAGGGACGGGGAUGAAAACAGGUGUCGUCGGGCCCUGCACGACACUUAAAACCGUGAGAGCGGAGGCCAGCUACCGGAAGAGUGGUGGAUGGUAAAGGGGACAGACAGCUGGGACACGCCAAUGCUGUGGCACCAGGGAGAUGAAAACUACCCAGGAGGCUGGAAAGAGAGCCCUGGCUGACCGUCGUGAGCAGGAAAACCCGAGAGGACACCGGGGGAUCUGCUGGGUCGUAGCCGCUUGGCGGCGGCCGUGGGAUCCAAAGACGACUUCAGCCGGCUUCAGGGACAAGAAACAGAGACAAUGGCACCUGCGAACCCCGAGUUCUCUCUGUCACCGUCUGAGGGCCCUGGGAAUCAAGGUGGUUCUUAUCAGAGGGGAAAAAAGGCGGGAGACGGUGUUCUUCAGAAACUAGGGAAAUGAAAGCUCUGGUCUUCACCAGUAUCGGUGAAAAGUUUGUCACCUUAACUUACUCUUUUAUCAGAAGGAUGAUGUGGAUCCAAUUCUCUUAUAAAUGGACACUUGACUGUUUUACUCUGAUGAAUUUGCAAAACUGAGACUCAGGGAAAGGACCCUCCCAAGAGCUCUGGACCACUGACCCUGCAGCCAAGUUAGAAGGUGUUGGACCCGGGGUGCCUAUUUUACAACUCCGGAAGGCUCUGUCUGACUUUGGGUCUGGUGCAAAAGCUGGGGAACUCAAACUCAAGUGGGAUCCAACCCCCCGGGACAGGAGUAAGUGCAAACAAGGCUACAACGAGGAACCUGUCCUGCACUCCUGAGGAGGCUGCAGAAUCCGCUGCUAAGGCAAUAGCUGCCUAACAAGACUUCCUAGGCACUCUGCCAAAGUUGUUCUUGAUGCCAUUAACCGCCCAGCAAAUGAUCUCCUGAAGAACAGAACUUCAGAAAAGGAACAGAAUGACCAACGGAAAGAACGAACGUGACGUCAUGACCUGUAAAUACCACACACACAUUCACCACGCGAACUCUGGAGCCUUAGUGGGUUGUGAUCCCCUCUCUCAGGCUGAGAGUUGGAUCAAAAGGAGAGAAAUGUUCAAGAGAGUCCCCAAAUGUUAGUCACUCACCCUAAGCCCCACGUCACCAAACAGACCUCUCUGUUUCAGCUCGCCCUGAAAUGGAGUCUUAAACCAGGCACUCAGGAAUCCCCUGACCAGUUAGGGCGUCUGACAGACCCUUGCCACCCCUCACGGGGAGUGACUUGACAAUAACCAACUGAUUUUUGCCUCCCGUAGCUUCCUUGUUCCCUCUUCCUCCUGGCUAUUCAAGUCUCAUUUCCUAUAGCUCCUCCGCGCUCCUUCCUUCUGCGAGAUGAGUUACUGCUUCCUUCAUAAAUGGUGAAUAAAACCAAUCGAGUCUUUCA